ACGCUCGACACCUACGGGGGGCAGCAGUAGGGAAUCUUCCACAAUGGACGCAAGUCUGAUGGAGCAACGCCGCGUGAGUGAAGAAGGUCUUCGGAUCGUAAAACUCUGUUGUUAGAGAAGAACACGAGUGAGAGUAACUGUUCAUUCGAUGACGGUAUCUAACCAGCAAGUCACGGCUAACUACGUGCUAGCAGCCGCGGUAAUCUGAGCGGGCUGGCAAGGC
rnacentral:rRNA from 1 species